UGUUUUCAAAACAGUUACAAAAAAGUGGGACGGCCAACACUGCCUCUUGUUUUCCAGCAGCAGUAAAAACUCCUGAUAUUUUGGAAAAAGUAAACUCCAGCCUAGAUUUAUGGGGAAAAGGACACACAAGUAGACGUUUCGUGGAAAAUGAUAAAUCAUGGUGUUAAGGACACAUUUUGGGCAAGUCAUUGGGAAAGUUGGCGCGCCACGCCUGCAUCUGACAACCUGCAUGACAGCCCACAGAGCAACACGUCCACCAGCCAUCGAUGUCUUCGAAAGUGAGAUCAGGAAACAUUUCAGGGUCAUGGGGGUGCUGGAGCUUAUCUCAGCUGCAUUUGGGUGAAAGGCCACCCUGGACAAGUCACCACCUCAUCACAGUGGAUGAAGAGCUCUGGGAACAUGAUCAGUGAAUGAAGACAUGUUGGAAGAAGCAUCGUGAAAAAGCUGCUACCAUUUGAUUAUAGAAAUAAUUAAUAUUUCAGGAAUUAUAUAGAAUUGAUUGGAUAAAAAAAUAAACCUUUUGAAUGAUACUUCAGCAGAUCCCAACCAUCGUUUGCCUCUAAAAAGACAUUCAAGAACUCAAAGAAAUAAACAAUGUUAUAGAUAAAAUGAUCCAAACUACAGUACAUGUACCCUUCCAUGAUAAACUAGAACAUUACUCAGUGGAGUAAUGGCCUCCCCCAAUGUCGAACAAUUCUUAUUUUGAAACUUCUGGAGCUGGAUCCAGAUCUUGAUCAUCAUCAAAAAAUAAUAAAUGUCUCCUGAUCAUCUUAUACCAAAUUUCCUUCUAAAUUUUUUACAGUGUUUUGAGUUGGACCAAUAAAAAAAUGCAUACAUCGAG